ensembl:lncRNA LINC01823 long intergenic non-protein coding RNA 1823
GAAUGUGCCACUGAUUUCCUUUUGGGGUUCUGACCGAUAAUAAUGCACGUUCAUUGACAACCACACCACCACCCAUUGACUAUCCAAUGUGAGAGGAGGCCCCGAAGCAAAACCAGUAAGAGGAAUGCAUUCCGAUAAGCUAACAGAUGUUUACUGCAUGAACCAGGUGCAGCUGCUCUUCCAUCGUUAUUGGCAUGCUCUACUAUGAGUCCGUAGGUCAGGUGCUGGGGAAUGGAUGGAUAGAAAAAUAAUACAUGCCAAAAGAAAUUUGAGGAACAAAUUCAGCCCUGAGACAGGUCACGGAAACAGCCCUCCAGUCUUCCUCAAGAAAUGUAGACUGAAUCAGCAUUUACCCACCCCUGGAAAAACGCAGGAGCUGCGCAUUCCUGGGAUCUCAGCAGGGCUUUUGGGAAGAGCAGAACUGGGCUGGAGUCACGGUUUCUGGGCUGACUCUAGAUUUUCCCCGGCUUUUGCCACCUGUGAUGGCUGGAGAGUAUCUGAAGAUGACAGCCAGUGUCCUUAGCUUGUGAAGAUUGGAUGAUGGCCGGGGCCCUCAGACCCCUUGGCCCCUCCUUAACUGCAGGUCUUCAAAAGCCCAACACCUGUUCGUCAUUUCUGUGGCUUCCCAGGGAGUCUUACUCUUCUGCUUCAAGCUGCUGGGUUUGACUCUGAGCAGUUUCUGUGCAGCCACAAAGAUUCUUAUGUGAGACACACUGCUGCUUCAGAGUGCUCCAACCCAUCUCCCCUGAUUAAACACUAACCAGGGCUGCCACAGCAAAGUGGCUCAAAUGGGUGACGUCAACAACAGAUUUACUUUCUCAUAGUUCUGGAGGCAGGUGUCUAGGAUCAAGGUGGUGGCAAGGCUAUUCCUUCUGUUGCCUCCCUCCUUGCCUUGUGGAUGACCGUCUUCUCCGCGUCUUUCCAAGAUCUCUCCUCUGUGCAUGUCAGUGUCCUUGCUUCCUCUUCUUAUGAAGACACCGGUCAUGUUGGAAUGCAACAGAAGAGAGUGCACGGCUUCUGAGGUUGCAGCUUUUGGGAGAAGCCAUCUACCAUUGAUGACAGACAUGCCGUGUGGAAACCAAACCAGCCAUGUGGAGAGGCUACCUGGACAGAGGCACAGGGCCAGCAGCAGCUGUGGAGACAGACAUGUGAGCAAAGAAAUCAUCUUUGAUGUACAGCCAAGUUGAGCCUUCAGAUGACUCCGAUUUCAGCCACCUUUGGACUGCAACCACAUGAAAGACUCUAAAUAGAAGCCUCCCAGCUGAUCCCGGUUAACCCACAGUGCUGAAGGGGAUAAUAAUAAAUUGUUGUUUUAAGCCACUAA